rnacentral:rRNA from 1 species
CACGCCGUAAACGAUGGGUACUAGGUGUUGGGGGUUUCGAUGCCCUCAGUGCCGGAGUAAACACAAUAAGUACCCCGCCUGGGGAGUACGGUCGCAAGACUGAAACUCAAAGGAAUUGACGGGGGCCCGCACAAGCGGUGGAGCAUGUGGUUUAAUUCGACGCAACGCGAAGAACCUUACCAAGACUUGACAUCCUUCUGCUGGACUCUUAACCGAGUCUUUCCUUCGGGACAGAAGAGACAGGUGG